UUUUUUAAGAGUUUGAUCCUGGCUCAGGAUGAACGCUGGCGGCGCGCUUAACACAUGCAAGUCGAACGAAACUGAUCUCUUAGGAGAUUAGUUUAGUGGCGGACGGGUGAGUAAUAUGCAAACAACUUGUCUUGUAGUGGGGGAUAGCCGAGAGAAAUUUCGAUUAAUACCGCAUAAUAUAGUUCGGAUGCAUAUUCGAAUUAAGAAAAAAGUAAUUUGCUACUAGAGAGGUUUGUAUCUGAUUAGCUAGUUGGUGGGGUAAUGGCUCACCAAGGUUACGAUCAGUAGCCGAUUUGAGAGAAUGAACGGCCACACUGGGACUGAGAUACGGCCCAGACUCCUACGGGAGGCAGCAGUGGGGAAUAUUGCGCAAUGAGGGAAACCUUGACGCAGCGACGCCGUGUAAAGGAAGAAGGCCUUCGGGUCGUAAACUUAUAUCGACUGUGAAGAUUUCGGACGGUAACAGGGUAAGAAGCUCCGGCUAACUACGUGCCAGCAGCCGCGGUAAUACGUAGGGAGCAAGCGUUAUCCGGAUUGAUUGGGUGUAAAGGGUGCGUAGGCGGUUUUACAAAGUCAUAUGUUAAAUCUCGUGGCUCAACUGCGAUUUUGCAUAAGAAACUGGUAAACUAGAGUACAGGAGAGGCAAGCGGAAUUCCUAGUGUAGCGGUGGAAUGCGUAGAUAUUAGGAAGAACACCAGUGGCGAAGGCGGCUUGCUGGACUGUGACUGACGCUGAGGCACGAAAGCGUGGGGAGCAAACAGGAUUAGAUACCCUGGUAGUCCACGCUGUAAACGAUGAGCGCUAGGUGUCGGCAAUGUAUUUGUCGGUGCCGCAGUUAACACAAUAAGCGCUCCACCUGGGUAGUACGGUCGCAAGACUGAAACUCAAAGGAAUUGACGGGGGCCCGCACAAGCGGUGGAGCAUGUUGUUUAAUUCGACGCAACGCGAAAAACCUUACCAAAACUUGACAUAACACUGAGUCGAUAGAAAUAUCGAGGCCUUUCGGGGAGGUGUUACAGGUGGUGCAUGGUUGUCGUCAGCUCGUGUCGUGAGAUGUUGGGUUAAGUCCCGCAACGAGCGCAACCCUUACUGCCAGUAGCUAAUUGUGUUUUCACAAAGCACACUGUCAGAACCGCUGCAGGCAAUGCAGAGGAAGGAAGGGACGAUGUCAAAUCAUCAUGCCCCUUAUGUUUUGGGCAACAAACGUGCUACAAUGGUAAUAACAAUGUGAUGCAAAGAGGUAACUUAGAGCUAACCAUUAAAAUUUAUCUUAGUUCGGAUUGUAGUCUGCAACUCGACUACAUGAAGCUGAAAUCGCUAGUAAUCGCGAAUCAGCAUGUCGCGGUGAAUGCGUACCCGGGCCUUGUACACACCGCCCGUCAAACCAUGGGAGUUGAUAGUUCCUAAAGUCUAUAUCUUAACCUUUCACAAGGAAAGAGUGGUCUAGGGAAAGAUCAGUGACUGGGGUUAAGUCGUAACAAGGUAGCCGUAUCGGAAGGUGCGGCUGGAUCACCUCCUUU
rnacentral:rRNA from 1 species